rnacentral:rRNA from 1 species
GAUGAACGCUGGCGGCGUGCCUAAUACAUGCAAGUCGAGCGAACGGACGAGAAGCUUGCUUCUCUGAUGUUAGCGGCGGACGGGUGAGUAACACGUGGAUAACCUACCUAUAAGACUGAGAUAACUUCGGGAAACCGGAGCUAAUACCGGAUGAUCUUUUGAACCGCAUGGUUCAAAAGUGAAAGACGGUCGUGCUGUCAGUUAUAGAUGGAUCCGCGCUGUGUUAGCUAGUUGGUAAGGUGACGGCUUACCAAGGCAACGAUGCGUAGCCGACGGCGGGGGGGGAUGGGCGACAGUGGAACUGGGACACGGUCAAGGCUCCUACGGGAGGGCGCAGUAGGGAAUGGUCAGCAACGGUCGGGAGCCUUACGGAGCGGCGGCGAGUGAGUGACGGAGAUGUUGGGUUCGGGAUGCUGGCUUACUGGGGAAGAACCGCUGUCUACGGAGCUGUACCGUGAGUGACGGUAAUGGGUAAAGAAGCACCGGCUAACUACGUG